UGCCAGCCGCCGCGGUAAUACGGAGGGUGCAAGCGUUACUCGGAAUUACUGGGCGUAAAGGGAGCGCAGGCGGUCUAUUAAGUCAGGUGUGAAAGCCCGGGGCUCAACCCCGGAACUGCACCUGAAACUGGUAGACUUGAGGAUGAGAGAGGAAAGUAGAAUUUCUGGUGUAGAGGUGAAAUUCGUUGAUAUCAGAAGGAAUACCCGUGGCGAAGGCGGCUUUCUGGCUCAUUUCUGACGCUGAGGCUCGAAAGUGUGGGUAGCAAACAGGAUUAGAUA
rnacentral:rRNA from 1 species